rnacentral:rRNA from 1 species
AGUGAACGCUGGCGGUAGGCCUAACACAUGCAAGUCGAACGGCAGCACAGUAAGAGCUUGCUCUUACGGGUGGCGAGUGGCGGACGGGUGAGGAAUACAUCGGAAUCUACUUUUUCGUGGGGGAUAACGUAGGGAAACUUACGCUAAUACCGCAUACGACCUACGGGUGAAAGCAGGGGAUCUUCGGACCUUGCGCGAUUGAAUGAGCCGAUGUCGGAUUAGCUAGUUGGCGGGGUAAAGGCCCACCAAGGCGACGAUGCGUAGCUGGUCUGAGAGGAUGAUCAGCCACACUGGAACUGAGACACGGUCCAGACUCCUACGGGAGGCAGCAGUGGGGAAUAUUGGACAAUGGGCGCAAGCCUGAUCCAGCCAUACCGCGUGGGUGAAGAAGGCCUUCGGGUUGUAAAGCCCUUUUGUUGGGAAAGAAAAGCAGCAGGUUAAUACCCCGCUGUUCUGACGGUACCCAAAGAAUAAGCACCGGCUAACCUCGUG